AAGAAAGUUUAAGAAUAUUGAUAUAGAGUGAGUUCAGAUAUAUAUGUCAAAUAAAGUAUUUCCCCAUGUAUCAUCACUGUCCAAUGAAAAAUAAUAGUUCAUCUGAAAAACAGAUUGUCUUCCAUUAGAAGUGCAUGUCCUUAAAAGUGUAAUAGAACCCUUACCUUUCUGUGAGCUACAGAGUGGAGGCUUUCAAGUACUUAACACCAAAAGAAGGAAAGCCCUUCCUUUAAGUUUCAUAUGCAAAUGACACACAAACAGAAUCAACAGACAAAAGAAUAUUAUUUUAAUAAUUAAAUUUUGAAGACUUUUCUAGGCAUGAUUAUCAGUGCAUCUAUAAGUAUGCGCUUCGGCAAAUAGCACGUAGUUAUAUACACAGAUUUCAGUCCUGUUUCCUUGUUUGGAGUGGAAAAUGAGACAUUUUAGACUUGUGCAUGGUCUUCACAUAUAAAUCCAUAGCCAUCUCAUUCACUUGCUAAUUAAUUUCUACAUAAUUUUUUCAUUUGAUUCUGUAACAUCUGUUAAUCCCAAUCCCAUCUGCUGAGACUAUAUGGAACACAAUCUAUAAAGAAUACUGAGGAGAAAUGUACUGUAUUAUACUGACUUUGAAAAACAAAUAUUCUCCCCAUGAGUCUACUAAAACACUAUGACUGUUAUGCAUACCUCAACUAACAGAAAUACCCAGUAGGAUUUGCAUAUGUAAAUGAGGCACAGUAUAUGUGUCACUGUGGGAAACUGUUCAGCUAGGCUCAAACAUAUUUAGGUUUGCUUUGCAGUCAUUCAAACUAAGAAAUACUAAACAUCUGAAGAUUCAUUUUACAUAGGUCACUUUUUAUAAAUACCUAUUUAGCACAUGAAAAGAGUUGUUUAUGUAGUUUAUGUGUGUUUUACUAAAAUAUAGGAUAUUUGGUGCGCAGUUGGAGGAAGUGGUUUCUAUCGUUAUGUCAUUAGCUAUUAAAACAAGAACUUGUAAUAUGUAGUUCAAUAUUUGGAUUUACUUGUUUCUUUUUUCUUUGUAAUUCAUGUUUCAUAUGUUAUUUGUUCUUCCAAAAGCAGAUCAGGGUAUUUAGCCGUUUCUGCACCUAUUCUAGAAAAUGCGUUUUUCUAGAGGGAUCAAUUUCACCACACACACACACACACACAAAAGUUGAAAUUAUUUUCACAAAAUAACAAGGCCUCAUUUCAUAAUUCAGAAGUUAUUUUGAUCGCCAAGCCUACCUAAACACUCAUAUUUUGCUGUUAUAGUCAAGAAUGGCAAUAUACAGUAUGAAUUCUGAAUCUUCUACACGAUAGUUAUUGUAUUUCUGUAACAUAAUUCAUAGUUCAUUCUGCAAUGUGAUAAGUAUUUUUUGCAGGGAAAUAUCACCUUGUUGUUAAACAAGUAUUCAGUAACUUUUUGAAUAGACAACUCAUGGUAACUUUUUGUCACCAAACUACAGCAUUGAACCAUUGUUCUUCCAAGUAUUGAGAAUAUUCUUGCUUUGAUUUCCUCAUGCCUAGGUGACAGGAGAUAAUAGUAGAUAAUCAUAGAAUCAUGAAGGUUGGAAAAGAUCACUAAGAUUGUCCAGUUCAACCAUCAACCCAUCAUCACCAGUACUAGAUACUUCUAAUUGUCAUAGCUAAUAAAACAAGUAUGCCUGUCACUUGCUUGUGCUACUCAUUUUCCCAGCAUAAUUUCUUCUAUAGCUUUUCUAGCAUCCUCUGAAACAAAAAGUCUUAAGCCCUGUAUAAAAAGAAACUAAAGAUCACAUGUGACAGGCUCUUCAUUAGCAUUGCAAAGCUCCUGCAAAGACUCUUAAAGUAGAAAAGAUAAAUAUGGACUCUCUGGCUACAAAGGCUUUCAGGGAUUAUGAGUCAAAUAUGUUACAUCUGAAAAUCUCUUUGCAUUGUCUGAGACUAUUAGUGAAGCCAGAAUUUUUGUGUUGAGUUCCUAAGGUAUACUGAUGUGUGUGAGUGUACGCAAGUAUGUAUAUGUGCAUACCUACCCUAAUAACAAAGGAAAACAAAUAGAAACUGGGAAGGGUUUUGCAGGUGUUUGUAUGUUUUCUAUGGCUGUUUGCUGAAUUUGACUGACUACUUAAAGUGAAAUAUGCUCCAUUAAUGACACAAAGGACUCAAUAUUGCUAUUUCAAAGGAAUAUCGCAUCAUCUAAUCUUUGUUUUCUUAUAAAAUCGGCAUAAAUAUCAUGUUUAUGAUUGAAAGGAUGAGUCCCUUAAUAAGAGUUCAAAUAACCUAGAUGGAAUCCAGCUGUGCACUACCAAAGUAACCUGAUAUUGUAGAACAGCUUUUAAUGCUUAAGUGUAAUUUUGCCCUUCAAGAAACAGCUUCUAACUAAUGAUGGCAGGAAGAUAUCUCUUCCAGAUCAGUAGCUGAAAUCUGUAGCUCUUCUGGUCCACUAAUUUACAUAUUUUCUUACAAUGGCAAAGUCAUUUUCAAGAACACUGGAUAAGGAAAAAACUCACAUAGCCUCUUAAAUUGCUGCCUUUGAGGAGAUGAGAUAUUAUUCCAAAAACAGUUUCUCUGAGAUUCCCCAAUGGGAGCAAUCAUGCUAUGCCUCAUAUGCAAACAUAAAGCAAAUAAACAAAAUAUCAGUCACCACCUGCAGCUUGAUGUUAGUGCUGCUUCCCACAGUGACUCCUGAUCUCUCUGUGUCCCAAGCUAAUAUUAGUAUAAUAUGUAAACUGAUAAAAGAUCUCUUCACACAACUGGGGAGCAAACGAAGAUGGAGACCCACUGGAGGACACUGGUCUCUGUUCAGACUCUGCUCAGCAUGCUCUUAUGAGCAAUGACUGUGAAGUUAGUGUUCCAUGUACAUUCAUUGCAUUAGAAGAAAAAAAAAAAGAAAAAAAAAAGAUGAAACUGCAGUAAAAAAAGAAAUACAGCAGAGGAAACAGCUGAUUCAUCUUCAUCCCACAAUAGCAGUAGUGCAGACAGCCAUGAAGGAUCUUGCACAGCAAGCUCUCUCUGCUCCUGUAUUCCUCCUGCACAGCUCAUUGGGUUUGGCUCUACUCCACCGGCAGUGGAAGAAUAUGCUAUCAGACUACCAAACAGCAGUGAAAGGGGAAACAUCAGGCACCCUUAUCUGUCCCAACAAAAACACGUUUGCCUGAAGGAAUAUCACAAAUACGUGGUGUAAAUAUUAACCCCCUACUUUUGUGCAGAAAAUAACAGUGAAAAAUGGGAGCUGGGCAACGCUGUCGGCCACAUGCUGAAAAGGCAGAAUGCACCCUCCUCUGUUUGUGUCUUCAGGUCAACAGCUGUUCUGUCAGCACAGGACUCCAGGCCUCAGUUCUGACCUGCUUUACAUGUGCAGCAACAGCUGCUUCUGUGUUUGUUGCUCCAUUUUAGCAUCUUACUGUAAAAACUGGGGUUUUCUAUGUUAUGUAAAUCAUUUUUUUUUAACAAGGUUUUAAGAAAUAAAUUGAGCUCAUUCACAGAUAGGCAUAAGGACAGCAUUUUAUCAAGAAGAUAUUUUGAGGGAAUAGAAAUCAUCUGCCAGUCUGUAUCAAAUCUAGCUAGAAUGGUCAGUUAAAAAAAAUACAUUUUUUAACCAGAACAACAACAACAACAAAAAAAGGACUCUCUAAAAUGUUUUUAGGAGGAAAGGGAAAGUGCUGCAUUUCCUAUCAGUCUGAAACAUUUUCAGGUAUUAGGGAGGCUUAAGGCUCAAGUGGUCUUUCCUUCCUGAAGGAGUCUAUCCCACUCUCUUGGGGACCUCAGAGAAGACCGCUCCCAGCAGUGAGCAAAGGUCUUUCAGAUGUGGCCUGAGAAUGGCAGUUCUGAAUAGAAUAAUUCUUUCAGGUCUUUAGGUCACAGAUCAUCACUUCAGAACUGAGAAAAAGACGAUUACAAGACAGAAAGCAAUGAUUCAUAUUGCUGUUAGUAUUUUUAUUUAAUAUCACUAAGCAUAUACCAAAGCAGUGAAAAGAGUGACUGUUCAAAUCCUAAGUGUGCAUAAACCUAAAUACCAAGAAAUGAAAGAAAACUUUGUCAGUCAUUCAGACAAAGCCAAGCAGAGAGAAGCUUUGAGGGAGUCAAAAUAGAAAACAUUCAGACUUAAAAAUUUUAUCCUAACCUUUUGUUUAUCCAUACUUGAUCCACAUUUCCUCUCUAGGAAUACAUGAUCUAUACAGUCAAAUAUUUAACAAUAGAAAAUAUUUUUAUCUUCUGCUACUUGUUAAUUCCUUAGCGGACUUUAUAUCUUAAUUUCACUGCAAGAGGUUCUUCUUGAUUAAAAUACAGCUUUUUCUGUGUAGAUACAUGAUAUUUUUAAUUCACUUUUUCUUUCUGCAGGGAAUUAUCAGGUUACAAUUACUGUGACACUCCUUUCCAUGCAGUUCAUUUCUGAAGAAUAGGUUUUAUUUUCCUUAGUUUAACACCACCAAAUGCUAGAACUCUUAUAUUUCUACAGAAAUAUUUAUAAAAGAAUAAAUAAAGAAGACACAAUAGUCAUUCCAAACUGAAGUACUGUAACACCAGUGCAAGGGAGUUAUUGUGAUGUUGCUGGCCAGGCACCUAAUGCUUUGUUACCUCAAUCACUGCGUAUAUCGUGAAAGGUCACAUCCUUAAGAGGGAAAAUAAACUCUUCUGCAGGAAUGAAGAUGUUCCACAGAAUAUUUCUGGGCACCAGUAUUUUUCUUGAACUGUGAAAGAUUCAGACUGUUUUUAUAAAUGGUAGGAUUUUGUUAUUAAAGUUUGAAGUUUUCAAUAAGAAAAUAUUUUGCAUCUUUUGAGUAGAUUUAAACUGAAUAGGAAAGAAAUAAGAAAAGCAUUUACUUUACAAGAUAGUUAAAGGCUCUGAUGGUAUGCUCCCUCACUCCUUCUCACUGCUAAACCAAGUUGCAGCAUAGGUCUACUUUUGCCACUGCAAAAUCUCUUCUAAAAUGAACAUAUCUUAUGAAACUAAUUUUCAUGAGGGGGGAAGUAAUAUUAUUACAUAUUAACCAUGUUGUUUGAUAUUGAGGAACAGUUUCUGGAGAUAUUCUCAUGUAUUUUGAAUAAAAAACUUCUGUUUUUGACAAGGAUGAGAUUUUCCCUUCUCCACACUCUAACACUGAACACUGUGGCAGGAAGGUUCAAAUUGUUCAGCAAAUCCAGUUGCUGAGAGGAAAACAAUUUAGAUGAUUCUAAGAGAAUUGUGACAAAAAAUUCUAGGAAAUAUUUCUUACAAAGCAUGAGUCUCAGUGAGAAGUGCUUUAUUUAUUUUUAAAGAUACACUGUCCAAUAAAAGACCAUAAUAAUGUAAAGUUAGGUAAGAUUUAUUUGAGCCACCCUUAUUAAUCAGUAUCUAUAUAUAUGUUUGUGUGUCUUAUGACCAAGAGCAUUAUCUUCUAUGACUUUUCUGUCUGGUUUUUGGACAAGAGCAGAAAUUCUGGAAUUUCCUGUAUAUCUUGUUGAAUAAAGUAAUUACUGAGGUUCAGUAAGGUCAAGUGCAGGGUGCUGCACUUGGGUCGGGGCAAUCCCAGGUACUUAUACAAACUGGGGGAAGAUCUCCUUGACAGCAGCCCUGCGGAGAAGGAUGUGGGGGUCCUGGUGGAUGAGAAGCUGGACAUGAGCCAGCAGUGUGCGCCUGCAGCCCGGAAGGCCAACUGUUUUCUGGGCUGCAUUAAAAAAGGGGUGGCCAGCAGGGAGAGGGAGGUGAUUGUCCCCCCCUACUCAGCUCUUGUGAGGCCCCAUCUGGAGCACUGCGUCCAGGACUGGGGCCCCCAGUACAGGAAGGACAUGGAGCUCUUGGAGCGGGUCCAGAGGAGGGCCACUAAGAUGAUCAGAGGGCUGGAGCACCUGUCCUAUGAAGAAAGGUUGAGGGAACUGGGCUUGUUUAGCUUGGAGAAGAGAAGGCUGCAGGUGACCUAAUUGCAGCCUUUCAGUACCUACAGGGAGCCUAUAAACAGGAGAGGACUCAACUCUUUGAAAGGGUAGAUAACAGCAGGACAAGGGGAAAUGGUUUUAAGUUGAGGGAGGAAAGAUUUAGGUUGGAUGUCGGGGGGAAGUUCUUUACAGAGACAGUGGUGAGGUGCUGGAACAGGCUGCCCAGAGAGAUUGUGGAUGCCCUGUCCCUGGAGGUGUUCAGUGCCCAGUCCCUGGGCAGCCUGGUCUGGUACUAAAUAUGGAGACUGGCAGCCCUGCCUGUGGCAGGGAGGUUGGAGAUUCAUAAUCCUUGAGGUCCCAUCCAACCUGAGUCAUUCUGUGAUUCUGUGACACACUGGAACAGGUUGCCCAAGGAGGUUGUGGAUGCCCCAUCCCUGGAGGCAUUCAAGGCCAGGCUGGAUGUGGCUCUGGGCAGCCUGGUCUGGUGGUUGGCGACCCUGCCCACAGCAGGGACUUGAAACUACAUGAUCUUUGAGCUCCUUUUCAACCCAAGCCAUUCUAUGAUUCUAUGGUUCUAUGAUAUCUUUUUAAAACUUU
ensembl:lncRNA